UGCUUCCAAUGAAAUGCACGAAGCAAUGACUGCAUAAUGCAUUCUUUGUUUUAAAAACAAAACUGUGCAAUAAAAAUUGCACAAAACUUGUUCGAUAUCUAAUCUACCUUUGGUGGCUUCAGCUUACCUGACAGUUCAUUUAUGUAUCCACAUUGCUAGGAAGCAUAUCAUCCGUCUAAUCCAAACAUAAACUAUUCUCGUUGUUGAAACUGGUGACGCACAAGCUGACGUAACGUUAGUGGAGACUUCAUCUCAAAAAACAGCCUGCAUGGGCUAAAAUCCCGGGGGGCGCGUAUGGCUCGUAUCAUUUGCGAGGCACGCGACGGGAGCCUUGAGGAGCUUUCCAUGCUAGAGCGCCUCUAAACCCAGGUCUCACUUGGAGAUCGAUCUCACUCGGAGAUCAUGAGUCUGUUGUAGAGUGGCGUCAUUUUACGUCCAGUCCACCGAACCAGUGUGCACAAUUGCUGGCGGUGGAUACCAGACUCCCCCCACGGGUCGUCAUGUGCGAGGCAAGGUCGGGGAUAAGAUAUCACGGCAGCAAUUGAAGAUAAAAUUGAGUUUAUUCAUGUAAAUGCUAUUAGGCUGCUACAUUUGCACAAUGAGUGAGUGCAAAGCUUCUCUUUAAUUGAUAUUUAUCAUUAUCCAAGCAGACUAUUGCCUGAUACGUCUGAGUCUACAUUCACUUCAUCCAGGAAAAUGCUUCAAAAUCGCGUUUUUCGUCGGUAAAUAGCAUUGCAACCUUGCGUCAGUUGACACAAGCUUUCACUGCCGCAUCCGGAAUCUCAGUGCAUAGGUGUCUAUGCAUCAUGAGCUUAGGUAUUGUUUCCUUUUUCGUUAGAUCAUGCUUCAACUUAUAGCGCUUAAUCGUUCAUGCCAAACAAAGUUUGCGGACUUGUGAUAUAUUUCCUUCAACAAAUGUCCGUCAAAUGAGGCUACAAAUGAGCUGCUUUCUUCUGCCAAUUAUGUUACUAUAGCACGUUGCUAAUGGAAGGUGGUUAUGAAUAAGACUAUUUGCAGUUGUGCCUCAUCAUCACUUAUUUGCCAAAUGCAAUUUCAAUUGCUGCUGUUAUCCCCGGCUAUAGUGUCUACGGUGGCGAGCUUUCUCCGCGGACCUUCAACUUCAAGACCUUCUACUUCAAGACCUUCAAUUUCUAGACAACUAAAGGGAUAUUCUCGUCAUACUGUACUCUCGAUGACCUGCAUGUCGGGCGUGCCAUGUCCUGAGGAGCGUUGUUUUCAAUACCCUCAGUGCACAUACUGCACCAGACUAUAUUUACGGACGUUGACUGUUUGCUUUAGGCACUGUUUCAAGCAUUGUACGAUGGCCGAAAACAAUAGUAUUUGGUAACGUUUUCAAGUGCCAUUUGGAGUAUCCGAAACUACGACGCAAUGUUAGUCGGAAAUAACGUAUCUAGUUAAUCAUGUUAUCGCAUGAUGUUCUUGUUCAUUGGCAAACAUUAUUUCAGCAGUCGAUACGUCCUCCAAACUUCAGUAACCGUUACUAUAUAGUCCCCGUUCGUCACAAACAACCGUUGACAUUUCGUCAACCUCAAAUUCGAAUAUAUUAACCGUUUACACGCACGAGAAUAUCCCUUUAUCCAAACUAGCAAGUGUGUCUACUGUUUUCUUACUAGGCAAACAAAAGUUUGUCACAGCAUGUGCGCAGUUCACUUUACCUAUGUGCAUUCAUACUAAAAGCCAUUCGUCCACAAGCAAGUUAUUUGCGCAAUUGACGUAAGCUUUCAUGAAGGCCAAACCAAUGCUGAUUCGUCAAUGCUGAUUGUCAGCUUGAAAGUAAAGAUGAGCAAAGUGGUUCAACUGAAUCUUAUGGUUGCAGUAGGGCAUAUUAGAAGUAAGUAAGUGACAAGUAUGUGUCAGCAAUUGCUUAUGCUUCUUAACCCUAGAUACUUUUGAUUCAAUCCUUUUGGUGAUGACGUAAUGUGGCAGAAAACAGUAGACACGCUUCAUCUUAUCGGAAACCCUGAAUGAUUGGUAUUUGUGAGCAUGUGUGCCUGUGAGUGUGUAAGGGUGGAUGUGGGUGUGUGGGUAUGUAUGUGCGUAUGUGAGGGUGUGCGUGUCAUCUUACAAGUAAUUUAGUGAAUGAGUGCAUAGGUACUAGUUUUCAAGUAAAUACGUGCAUGAGUGCAUGUAGUCAGUGGUGUAUGGAACUCGCAUUGUGCCUGCCUGCUGCCAACGAAAUAUGCAAGCCCACACAGAGAAAACAGUUUUGUUGUGCGAAACUUCAUGCUGCUGGCAGGGUUUACAUGCAAGUCACAUAUUGCAGGUCUACCAUAAGCAGAGCAAUGUGACAUCUGAUAAGUAACUCACAGCAACACAUACUCUGCAUGUCCAGGGAAAGUGAGUUGUGCUCGGAACACAUUGGCCAGACAGUUUUGUCCUAUCAAAUUCAGAAUUGUUUUAUCCUCCUCACAGUUGUCAUUAACACUUCAUGAGCACACAUUAUUGCUAGAUCUGAAUGCCAGCUGCCUAUUGCACUGCUGGCACGUAGUUGGAGACAAAGGUGCCGCCAGUUUUCCACCUCGCUGCUGAUACAAUGCAAUACUGCUACAAAAUGUCCGUGUUCUGUGUUUUUAGUGUUGUAUGUUUGUAUAUGUGUCUUGCGUCGUAUGCGCAUUACCUACAUAAGUUUUAAGUGUUCCCGCGAAAGUAGGUACUGAAUUAGCUCAAGCCAGGAUUGCGUUGCGGAGAUAUUUGUAGCCCAUACAAUGUUUUAUGGCGUCAUUUACGACACUUUCUGUUUUUUCUUGUCAUUGUAUGCACGUGAGUUGUGCCGCAUGUUGCGCUUGCAAAUCAUGUUCUCAAUGCCAUUUUCUUUUGAUACAAUUGGUCACCACUACACAUCACUCGCAUACACUCGCCCAAGCAAGUCGGAUAUCAAUCACUGUCCAGAAGUGCAUGAUGCAUUCAACCACGCAUAGAACACUGGCACACCAAGAACAUGAACUCACGCAAAAACGAGAGGACUAUUACACGACUUCGCAUUGGACACACCGCUAUCACACACAACUACAUCAUCACAAGAAGCCCGAGACCGAAAUGCAACACCUGCAACACUUUCAUCACUGUCAAACAUCUGCUACUCACAUGCCCACAAUACCAACACCACAGGACAAACAUACAAACAUACUGCAGAGACGCCAACAUCCCACUAACACUCACAACACUGCUCGGGGACUUACACCCCGAGCUAACAACACUACUCAUCCACUAAAGACACAACACUGGGCUGAUAAAUGACCUGUAAAUCUCCUCCCCUAGAGCCAAGGACAAAAAAGCCAAAAAAAAAAGCCAAAAAAGAAGCCAAAAAGAAAAAAACAACAUUCAAAACAAUAAGAAUCAAAAUAAAAGACCCCAGAAUGGCAAAAUGGCAAAAAAAAAAACAAAAAACGAAAAAAAAAAACAAUAGAAGGGGCAAUCCGGCUAACCGGGAGGAGAUAGCUAGGAACCCUGACCCACCUCUCAGCCCACCCUUACGAGCCAAGAAGACGACGGACACUUCAAGACAAUGGACGGACCAACAACGAAGACGGACGACAGAACCGGGCCCAAAUACAGAACGCUGUGGUGGCCCGUAAGCCACAAAUACCAUACCAUACCAUACCAGUGCAUCAUGCAGCAGAAGAAGCUUCAUUGAACACACUCGUCAUCAUGAACGGCAUCUUAGGAGCUUCAUGAGUUUGGAUCUGUGACCAGUUGUUUUCGCAGUAUCCAAUAGCAACCGUGUAUGACCAGGCGCCGCUUGGACGCCUUGUCCAGCCACGUCUUCCGGGACUGUGUGAUGACUGCCUCUGCAAUCUCAAGUGCCAGUUUCUGCCUCCGGCCUAUUUCUUUAUCAAAGGAUGUUGGUAACUGAACGACCAGCUCUGCUCCAAGAUUCCAAAUCGUUUUACGGUAUUUUAUCCCUACAAAACGUUAAUAUUUGCUGGACGCGUUGAUGCCCGAAUAGGAUGACCUUUAUUCCUAGAUACAGGCAUUCAACGUUGAAUCAAUUACGCUUCUAGCCUUCUGUUUAUUGGCUUUACAUACUUUUUAUUAAUAUUUAUCAUGUGUCUAGCCUGCAAUUCAUUUUACUCACCACCAUCGGACGUCACAACUAUAAGCUUAUAACUACUAUAUACAACUAUAAGCUAUAAGCAGCUAUUCGCUGACUUGACAUAUGAUAUUUUCGCGACGACUCGUUUCGCCCUUCCGCCAUGUUAACUAAUCAUCCGUUACAUCUUUAUGUCAACAGGUAUAGUACAAGUCAUCCUUACCGUCGAUACCGUAGAAGAAUUUGCCGUCGACCACGGAACACAUAUUGUGCUUCCCGUUGCUGGUAAUUUUUUAUUUGUCACUUAGGUGACAGUUACUAUAGUUCGUUUUCUUUUUAAAGUUCGGCCCUGACUGUAAACAUCUUUUUGAACACAGCACGAGAAUUACUGAGAAAAUUGGUUAGCGCCCAUUGAUACCGUUGUGUUAAACGCGGUGCGAUUUAUUAAUUAGUUCAGUUAUCACUCCUGACAAAUCGUCUAUCCCUGUGGGGUUGUAAAUAUGAGCAAAUACGAGCUGAGGGGUCUGGGAAAUAGGAGCCAGAAAGAAAUAACUUUGAUAAAGUUUUUCAUCAGUGAAAUUCAACGUGCGACAACCAUUUUCCUCUUCUUAGUAAUUCAGCUAGCAAUUCUCGUGCUGUGUUCGAAGAGACGUUUACAGUGAGGGUCGAACUUAGGACGAACUAUGGCACCUAUCAGCAGAUAUACGUUCAUAAUGCAACAAGGGAACGAAAAGCGUGUUCAAAACUUUAACUCAUUGUCCUUAUGUGCCUGCAGGCUGAUUUCGCAGUAUCCAAUGGCAACCGUGUAUGACCAGGCGCCGCUUGGACGCCUUGUCCAGUCACGUCUUCUGGGACUGUGUGAUGACUGCCUCUGCACUCUCAAGUGCCAGUUUCUGCCUCCGGCCUAUUUCAUUAUCAAAGGAUGCUGUUAGCUGAACGAACAGCUCUGCUCCAAGAUUCCAAACGUUUUUACGGUAUUGUAUGCCUACAAAACGUUAGUAUUUUUUGAAGGCGGUAAUACUCGGAUGAACUGACCUAUAUGGGUGGGUAUUCAACGUUGAAUCAAGUAGGCUUGUAGCCCUCUGCCUAUUGACUUCUAAGGGUUUUAGUAAAAUUUAUAUAAUAUCUCAUCUGAUCAGCAUUUUCACUCUCAGUCGUCGAAAUUGAAAAAUCAUAAGCUUAGAAAUCCGCGGACUUGACAUAUUAUAUUUUCUCGACGAUUCGUUUCGACUUGCCGUCAUGUCAGCUAAUCAUCCGCUGCUUCUCCUAUUUUCACAGGUGAAUUACCAGUCGUCUUUACCGUCGAUACCGUUGAAGAUUUUACCGUCGAUCAGGGAGCACCCAUUGCGCUGGCCGUUGCUGGCACUUUUUUAUUUGUCACUAGCUAUUAGUUAUCUGCAGAUAUACAUUAGCCACCUGUGCACCCGCUUACACAAGCUCUCAGCAUCUAGUUCUACGUAUGUGUGUGUUUGUUUUAAUUGAAUUGCCAAUGAAUUCGGUAGACAUGCUCCGCCCGCAAACAUGUACCACAUGAUGCAGUCCACUGAAUGUAGCAGUUAAUCUCUCGUAAAAAGCAGUCAUGUUUUCGUAUAGUGUAGGUUUGCAUCUAUGUAAGCAUGUGUUCACACUCAUGAGCGAUCCACACAUGAUAUUGCAUUUCCUGUUCAGUUACAUUUUUUAACACGAUGCUCAUACACUGCGUUGUUAUCUUUCUUUUUUUUCGCCUGCUCCUUCCUCCAACUUGUGUCUUUGAGUAUUUCAGUCACAUGCUCAAACGUUCUUAAAUGCUCUCGCCAUCGGUUUACGCAUGCGUUGAAAACGGACACGUGUUGACCAAAUUUAACAAUAUGCGGACAAUGGAUCGACUUCUUGAAGCCUGUGGACGUGAUAAACCUUCUCCAUCACCAUCAAGAGAUCAACAUUUUCGAAGACACUUGCGUACGGCUGGCUUCGGCUGCAGCACAAGCCACAUUCAUCGGCCCAAUCAUCAGUUAUUCAUCCUGCAAGUUUUAAGUCACUUCGUUGUGACCCGGACAUCGUCAUCUUUCAACGACUUCAAAUGACUAUUUCAUUCAUCAUCGUCGAUCAGACUCAUCAUGUAAAGACACUUCCAUAAUGCUAUCUGCCAUCUACGUUUGUGCAGGAAGCAAAUAUCAGGUUGUUAUUAGCUGCAGGCUACUCAGUACCGACUGAACUACUGGCAGUAGUGUGCGAGCACCUAAUACUUGUAUUGUGAUACCAAAGUAAAACGGAUGAUAGCUUAGCGCAUAGCGCCCUACCGCUUUCCACACACACAUAAACAAAACUUGACUUUGGGCAUUAGCACGAUGGCAAGAUUAACAGGCAGUUUCGCUGUUUUUCACUGCUUUCAUUGGCAGGUGUUACUGCUCAUUCCCGUUUCAUGUGAUGUUAGAACAGCCUUCACCAUAGUCCUGUUUUCUCCUUUGCCGUUUUCCAUAGACAUCCGAUGCGACAUGCACUCCAACGAUCGGUCAGGCGCAUCACCGUCAAUCCGGUCGCCUGUUAAUCAGUUCGUAAUCACCGUCAGUCUUCGACAUCUGUCAACACACUUGUUCACAUUAUCGCCUUACUUUUGAUCUUAUCAAUAUGCAAGAAUGAGUGCAAAAUGCAUUGCAAUAUUGCAUCAGUUGAUGUUGUAUCGCAAUGACACCGCGUCCUCACCUCACAUCUGUUGUGCAUACUUGAUCACGAAUGCCAGUUAUACGCAGAUUCACAUGGUGAAGUUUUACUCCGUUGACGUUUUCUUUCCAUUCUUGUAGUCUAUCAAGAGUGGUUACAGUUGCAUAUGCGGCCUUACACAUGCGUCCUUACAUGCUAGCUGAUUGAUAUGUUGGACACAUUGGUUCCUGUAACUCCAAGUAGUUCUGCAUUGGUAUUGCUUCACUUUAUAUGUUCUACCCAAAGAUCGUUUCUAGUUUUGUCUUAGCUUGCAGCUGUAUGCCAUGAACAUACAGGGUACUGCGCAUCUUUAUCGUGACAUUCCUGUAGUUUCGUCGCUUUCGCGGAUGAUUAGGACCAUGAGCUCAGUUGCAGAUGCGUCCAGCAGCCACCGACAUUUCUACACUUUAAAUUCCUAGUCUCGGUUCUUAUCCACAUACCAACAUGAUUUGAACAUUUCACACGAUUAGUGAUGAAAUGAACAGGUAUCAUCUACUACAUUAUAUUUUCAUGUAAAGCACA